UUUCAGAUAGCAGGCAGAAAACCUGGCUUUAAAAGAGGAGCUCAGACAGGAAGCCAGCAAUGUUCCAGGAGGAUUUCUGAGUCAAGCAACUGGCUUCUUGAAGUGUGACUUUCAAAGAUCCCUAAAACCAUUGGCUGCACAGACGGAGCAGGACCGAGGAACCAGCACCCCAGAGGACCUGCAUGUCCCCCGCACUUGUACCUUGAGUCAUGGCUGAGCUGCACAAGCCUCUUUAAAGUGAGAAAUCUCCAUGCUGGGGUAGGCAUUGAAACAGCUAAUUUGUGUCAACACCAAGUCCAGGCUGGUUUUGCAACUGUCUCAUGUCUAUGCCUGAGCUUUCAAUCCCAUCUGAGAUACCAAGGUGUGCUGAGGAAUAAUGUAACAAGAGUGACAGCAGGUGAGUGUUUGCAUGAGGACAUUGCCUGGAUCCUGUUAAAGGCCUUUGUCUGCUGCAGCCACAGCAAGCAGCAAUUACUUUAACAACUUCGUGCAAAGCUGGUGCUACACCAAGCCCCUUUAGUAGGCAGAAGAGUGAUGUGAGCUAUGAGCAUUAGUGUAGGGUAGAAAGGGUUUUUUUUUUGUAGUUUUAUUCAUUAAGGAAUUUAAAGUAAUGGUUGAUGGGGGAAAGUGAGUGCGUUUGUGCUGGAGAUCGUGAUUCCUUUUUUUCUUGUUAUCAAUAUUCAGUCCAGUCUGCCAUGGACUUUCCUCUGACCCUGCUGGUGAUAUCCUUUUGCAUUUCCUCUGUCAAUUAGGCUAAAAUAUGAGAAAAAAAGGCAAGAGAAGGGCUCUUGUCAAGUGGUUCUUCCAGGGUUGUGCACACAGGUGUUAAAAACUGACUCUUUAAAUCUCCCUCUCACAGCCUUUCAGGAUGUUUCUAAUGUUUUGCAUCACACCAUUCCAAUUUUAAUUUCUUCCGGAGGUGAGAUGCAGCUACAUUUGCCAAAUAUCAUUUCAUCUUAUUUGUUAAAACAACCACUGGCCUUUCCAUUUUUUGGAAGGAUGGUGCUUUUGACACAUCCAGGAAGCCAGUCCAUAAGACAGUGCUUUUCUACGCUUUUCAAUCCUGCCAUUUCCAGGCAGUCGAAGCUCACAGCGAGAGUAAAGGUGUGGAAGCCACUCUAAAUUCACGAAGUGUCACGAAGUUUCUGUUUGCACUUUAUUUUGUCCCUCAGGGCCACAUGAGGUGAUACCCUCUCCUCACACACCGUGUGUGGCUGGAAGGGAAGAGCCCGAGCCCUGCUCCCAAAAGGGGAGUACGUGAUGCUGAGCACAUCCUCGGCUCGGGCGCGCUCCUGCAGCCUCGGGGCGCGUACGCAGCACCUGGGCAAAAGCUGUUUGCAGGGAAGUCACCUCUCUCGCUCAUUUUGAAAUAUGUCUGAAUUAGCUCACAGGCCCGUGGUAACAAAAAAAAUCCAUUUUUUUCCCUAGGCUGACGGGAUGUCUGUAGGCACACUGAGCUGGCAGAGGAGCCCACCGGGCUCUUGGAGCAGGGACGGAGCUGCGGCGGCACGGCAGGGAGGUGGUGGCAGAGCGCUUUUCCCAGGCUCCCGCCGCUGGGAGGGGAAGCAGCGCCAGGGCGGCUGUCCCGGGACACCUCCAGAGCCGGGAACACCGCGGGAUCUCCGCCCAGGGACGCCGGGCUGGGCCACCACGAGGUGGCAGCCGGAGCCCGGCGAUGAGGCUGCCCCGGCGCGCCCCGGUCCCAGCUUCGUGUCCCGGCGGGGGCGCAGGAGCUGUCACAGUGACCCCAAAGGAUCUGUUAAAAAAAAAUAUAUAAAUAAACCAAAACCAACAAAAACCAACCAAAAAAAAAUAAACACGAAAAACAAAACAAAA